rnacentral:rRNA from 1 species
UUCGGGGGGCCGGCGUUGAAUAGCAGUUCCAUCGCGGAUCAGCAGUUCUCCCCGCCCUGUCGGAACAUUACCCAUGCUUUUUGCGUACCCAUUGUUUCCUCGGCAGGCUUGCCUGCCAGCAGGACCUUUUUAAAACCCUUUGCAAUUGCAGUCAGCGUCAGAAAAAACUUAAUAGUUACAACUUUCAACAACGGAUCUCUUGGUUCUGGCAUCGAUGAAGAACGCAGCGAAAUGCGAUAAGUAGUGUGAAUUGCAGAAUUCAGUGAAUCAUCGAAUCUUUGAACGCACAUUGCGCCCCUUGGUAUUCCAUGGGGCAUGCCUGUUCGAGCGUCAUUUGUACCCUCAAGCUUUGCUUGGUGAUGGGUGUUUGUUCCGCUGCAACGCGUGAACUCGCCUCAAAUUAAUUGGCAGCCGGCAAUCUGGUGUUUGAGCGCAGCACACUUUGCGCUCUUCGCUGGGUAUUGCGGGCGUCCAUGAAGCCUAUAUUUUCGCGCUUGACCUCGGAUCAGGUAGGGAUACCCGCUGAACUUAAGCAUAUCAAUAAGCGGAGGAA